rnacentral:tRNA from 1 species
GAAAUAUGAAGAUCGAGAAAAAGCUGCUAACUUUCUUCUUUAGUGGUUUAAAUCCAUUAAUAUUUCU